rnacentral:lncRNA from 1 species
CCUUAUAGUUUCUGGACACAAUUUCCCUCUUUAAGCUCUAGCCUUCUAGUCUAUGACCUUCUGUCAGACUUUCUGAAAUAUUUUAGAAUCACAAGUGUCUUCUGAAAUGACUCCUGUUUAUCACUCUCUGUCUCUCUCUUACCUCUCUCUAUCUCUCUUAUCUCUCUCUAUCUCUCUGUCUAGCUAUAUCUCUUAUCUCUCUCACACAUAUGAAAUAAGUUUUUAGAUUAAACAUCUAAUCACCUUUAUGUACUUUCCUUGCACAGCUUACAUGAGAGAGGCUUAGGGGAUGUGGUGCUUAGCAAUAUAUUUAAUUGCUUCACCUUCUUGGGUGAACCAUUCUUUUUGUUGCCCUCAGAUCCCUCAUCUCUAAGACAACUAACUCUAAGUAUUCCAUUGAGCCUGGAGCUCAGGUCCUGUCAUCAAGUUCAAAGAGAAAUAAAGGGUUUUGUUUCCUGGCCCCUAAAAUUCCUGUCUGAUGUUUGAUGUAUGUUCCAUUCCACUCACUGUGGAUUGUUUUGAAGAGGUCUUUAUAGGUUUUUACAGUGAGAAGUAAUUAACUUGCAUGCUGUGCCAUCACAUUUUAGCCUUUGGGAGACCUGUGUAGUGGGAAGAAGCUAAGUUGCCAAGGUUCAAAAAGGCAAGUUCCUCAGCAGAGGUGCAUAAUAGAAGAAAAGGUCACCUUUGACUAACUUCUGCUCUUGGCUGGCAAAGGUGGACAGAUUUUCACAGAGUACAGCCCUGUGCUCUAAUAGCCCCCUGAUGGAUGCUUCUGAUGGAAGACAGGAGGAAGUGUUAAAAGCAAUGAAAUGCUUAAGUGAAGCUUGCUUUCUGAAAGAUGCUGCCUUCUAUCGUAGGCACUUCCAGGUUCACCAUGGUGCACUCUCAAAAGAGAGACCUUACAGAAAUCCAAAACUACAAAUGAAGAAUAAAAAUAGAAUGCCUUUAGACUUAUUUUUAGGGUUCUGUAAACCCUCAAAAUUAGACCUGUAGACAGAUUAUGUAAGAAGGAUGGUCCUGAAGACUAAGUGAAUAUUGGCAGUGUACCUCCAAAUAGCAAGGCUCAACUGCACAGGAAUCCAGAGUUUUAGCAUAUAAUUUCUACAAAAUUUCAAAUUCAUGGAAUUUGAAAGUUAAGUAAUGUGCAAACAUAAAGAUGUGUUCAGAGCUAUAAACCAAAGUGGUAUCUGAAUGAAGCUAUUAUAACCACUUGUUGUGGAAGGUAGAAGAUGUCAAAUACAAUGUUAGCAUCUCUGAGACAAAAUAAUUCUUUGUUAUGUUUACUCUGAUUUUAAUAAGUCAACUGAUAGUUUCCUUAUCAUAUAUAAAAAUCUAAAGAAAUGAAGAACAUGAUGAAUAAAAAAUAUUAAUUAUGAAGCAAGUAUAAAGUUUUAGAACUCAGAUGUCUAACAAAAACAUAGGUGUUAAUGUUUAAAUUCAUCCAUUUAAGGAGAAAUGCAUGCAUGAAAAAAGAGACUCAUAGAAGUAGAAAAUGCAUUGCUUCCCAGUAAGCUAGAAAACUAAGUCUUUUCGAGCAAGUAUCUUAAUAAUCCUUAAAAAUUAAAUCAUAAUCUAACAGUUUGUAGUUUUCAGCUCUAUGUUUAUAAAACCAGCCCUUACAAACUGUCAACAAUAGACAAUAUAGUCAGAAUUCCAUUUUUAAAGUAGCAAAGUAUCCCUCUCAGUAAGAUGCAGUAGGACACGGACUUACAAUAGGGUGACUGCCAAUCUUAGCCCUUCAUUAGGAUCGUUUGAUAAAUAUCAUGACUCUGAACUAAUCCCAGGGC